rnacentral:rRNA from 1 species
UUGAAGAGUUUGAUCAUGGCUCAGAUUGAACGCUGGCGGCAGGCCUAACACAUGCAAGUCGAGCGGUAGCACAGAGAGCUUGCUCGGGUGACGAGCGGCGGACGGGUGAGUAAUGUCUGGGAAACUGCCUGAUGGAGGGGAUAACUACUGGAAACGGUAGCUAAUACCGCAUAAUGUCGCAAGACCAAAGUGGGGACCUUCGGGCCUCAUGCCAUCAGAUGUGCCCAGAUGGGAUUAGCUAGUAGGUGGGGUAACGGCUCACCUAGGCGACGAUCCUAGCUGGUCUGAGAGGAUGACCAGCCACACUGGAACUGAGACACGGUCCAGACUCCUACGGGAGGCAGCAGUGGGGAAUAUUGCACAAUGGGCGCAAGCCUGAUGCAGCCAUGCCGCGUGUGAAGAAGGCCUUCGGGUUGUAAAGCACUUUCAGCGGGGAGGAAGGCGGUGAGGUUAAUAACCUCAUCGAUUGACGUUACCCGCAGAAGAAGCACCGGCUAACUCCGUGCCAGCAGCCGCGGUAAUACGGAGGGUGCAAGCGUUAAUCGGAAUUACUGGGCGUAAGCGCACGCAGGCGGUCUGUCAAGUCGGAUGUGAAAUCCCCGGGCUCAACCUGGGAACUGCAUUCGAAACUGGCAGGCUAGAGUCUUGUAGAGGGGGGUAGAAUUCCAGGUGUAGCGGUGAAAUGCGUAGAGAUCUGGAGGAAUACCGGUGGCGAAGGCGGCCCCCUGGACAAAGACUGACGCUCAGGUGCGAAAGCGUGGGGAGCAAACAGGAUUAGAUACCCUGGUAGUCCACGCCGUAAACGAUGUCGAUUUGGAGGUUGUGCCCUUGAGGCGUGGCUUCCGGAGCUAACGCGUUAAAUCGACCGCCUGGGGAGUACGGCCGCAAGGUUAAAACUCAAAUGAAUUGACGGGGGCCCGCACAAGCGGUGGAGCAUGUGGUUUAAUUCGAUGCAACGCGAAGAACCUUACCUGGUCUUGACAUCCACAGAACUUUCCAGAGAUGGAUUGGUGCCUUCGGGAACUGUGAGACAGGUGCUGCAUGGCUGUCGUCAGCUCGUGUUGUGAAAUGUUGGGUUAAGUCCCGCAACGAGCGCAACCCUUAUCCUUUGUUGCCAGCGGUCCGGCCGGGAACUCAAAGGAGACUGCCAGUGAUAAACUGGAGGAAGGUGGGGAUGACGUCAAGUCAUCAUGGCCCUUACGACCGGGCUACACGUGCUACAAUGGCAUAUACAAAGAGAAGCGACCUCGCGAGAGCAAGCGGACCUCAUAAAGUAUGUCGUAGUCCGGAUUGGAGUCUGCAACUCGACUCCAUGAAGUCGGAAUCGCUAGUAAUCGUAGAUCAGAAUGCUACGGUGAAUACGUUCCCGGGCCUUGUACACACCGCCCGUCACACCAUGGGAGUGGGUUGCAAAAGAAGUAGGUAGCUUAACCUUCGGGAGGGCGCUUACCACUUUGUGAUUCAUGACUGGGGUGAAGUCGUAACAAGGUAACCGUAGGGGAACCUGCGGUUGGAUCACCUCCUU